UGGGGAAUCUUGGACAAUGGGCGCAAGCCUGAUCCAGCCAUGCCGCGUGGAUGAUGAAGGCCUUAGGGUUGUAAAAUCCUUUCGUGGGGGACGAUAAUGACGGUACCCCAAGAAGAAGCUCCAGCUAACUUCGUGCCAGCAGCCGCGGUAAUACGAAGGGGGCUAGCGUUGUUCGGAUUUACUGGGCGUAAAGCGCGUGUAGGCGGGUCGUUAAGUUGGGGGUGAAAUCCCGAGGCUCAACCUCGGAACUGCCUUCAAAACUGGCGACCUGGACCUAAGUAGAGGCAAGUGGAAUUGCGAGUGUAGAGGUGAAAUUCGUAGAUAUUCGCAGGAACACCAGUGGCGAAGGCGACUUGCUGGACUUAUGGUGACGCUGAGACGCGAAAGCGUGGGGAGCAAACAGGAUUAGAUACCCCCGUAGUCCCUGAGCGGGCUGGCAAGGCGCAU
rnacentral:rRNA from 1 species